GCACACAUGGUGAAAUUGGUAUACACGCCAUCUUGAGGGGGUGGUGCCUUCGGGUGUGGGGGUUCGACUCCCCCUGUGUGCAC
rnacentral:tRNA from 1 species